GACGAACGCUGGCGGCGUGCUUAACACAUGCAAGUCGAACGGAAAGGCCCUGCUUUUGUGGGGUGCUCGAGUGGCGAACGGGUGAGUAACACGUGAGUAACCUGCCCUUGACUUUGGGAUAACUUCAGGAAACUGGGGCUAAUACCGGAUAGGAGCUCCUGCUGCAUGGUGGGGGUUGGAAAGUUUCGGCGGUUGGGGAUGGACUCGCGGCUUAUCAGCUUGUUGGUGGGGUAGUGGCUUACCAAGGCUUUGACGGGUAGCCGGCCUGAGAGGGUGACCGGGCACAAUGGGACUGAGAUAGGGCCCAGACUGCUACGGGAGGCAACAGGGGGGAAUAUUGCCAAAUGGGGCGGAGCCUGAUGCAACAACGUCCGGUGCGGGAAGACGGGCUUCGGGGUGUAAACCGCUUUCGCCUGUGACCAAGCGUUAGUGACGGUAAUGGGUAAAGAAGCACCGGCUAACUACGUG
rnacentral:rRNA from 1 species